rnacentral:sRNA from 1 species
GGCUGUUCUAGAACUUUAUGCACUCAGUUGUGCGAACUCUUAAAAUGUCACAUCCCACUUUCAAGUCCAGACGGCCCACUAGAAUCUCCUUAGAAUCUACUGCCUAGAUGGUACCGACAAGACCGGAAACGGCUUUCAUCUGUGUUGUUGGAGAGAGAAAAGCCAAGGCUGAUCCCCCAGGGAUGAGUCCAUGCUGGUUUAUACCAGAUUAUGUUUUCUACAAACUGUCACAUGCCUCACAAAGGACAAAGGCCAGGCCACUCCCGGCCCAGUUAAAGGCAUUCCCCCGAAGCAGCACAUUGGUCUGCACGCUCAGUGCCGUCCCAGGCAGCCCGUGAUAAGGGAAGGGAAUGAGAGGUCAAGAGCUAGUCAUCCGCGAUCCCCAGUGAGAACAUCUGCCUGCUGAGAACACACUACAGGCCGGCCCACUUCUAGUUCCCUGGCUGAAUCUCCUCAUUUCAUAGAGGAAUACGCAUUACAAACAAAAGACCCAAAGCCCGUGCAUCACAUCACACACACAAUGGCGAUUUCCAAAUGCAAACUCUGCUUCCUUCACCAGUCAUGACGCCCAAAUUCCCCUCGAUCAUUCUCCAGUUCGUUCAUGAUCCAUGACCCCGUGAUCCUGAUCCCCGUGAUCAUGAUCCGUGCCAUCGUGAGACUCGGUUCCUCGCUCAUAGCCACCCUGGUGGGUGAUCUUAGAGCUGGCUUUUCCUUUUCUCCGUGACUCCGUGAGGCAAUUCUAGUCAAGCUAACAGUUACAGAUCCUGAGGAAAUAGUCUGAGGAGGCUCGUUAGAGCGUAAAGAACAGGAACCGUGAGGCAUUUAAGUAAAGGAGCUGGGUAGUGAGACCGGACAGCACAAACCAAAACAAGGCCAAAGGGAGACCCGUUGAAGAGCUGGACGUGUGGAGCACACCUGUAAUCCCAGUACUCAAGAGCCUGAGGCAGGAGGACCACUGAAUUUAGAGGCUA